GCCAGAGUGGUGUAGUGGUUAAGGUGCCGGACCCAGGUUCGAAUCCUGGCUCUGCCA
rnacentral:tRNA from 1 species